rnacentral:rRNA from 2 species
GGGUUGUGAGGUUAAGCGACUAAGCGUACACGGUGGAUGCCCUGGCAGUCAGAGGCGAUGAAGGGCGUGCUAAUCUGCGAUAAGCGCCGGUAAGGUGAUAUGAACCGUUAUAACCGGCGAUACCCGAAUGGGGAAACCCAGUGUGACUCGUCACACUAUCAUUAACUGAAUCCAUAGGUUAAUGAGGCGAACCGGGGGAACUGAAACAUCUAAGUACCCCGAGGAAAAGAAAUCAACCGAGAUUCCCCCAGUAGCGGCGAGCGAACGGGGAGGAGCCCAGAGCCUGAAUCAGCAUGUGUGUUAGUGGAAGCGUCUGGAAAGGCGCGCGAUACAGGGUGACAGCCCCGUACACAAAAGCGCAUGUGCUGUGAGCUCGAUGAGUAGGGCGGGACACGUGGUAUCCUGUCUGAAUAUGGGGGGACCAUCCUCCAAGGCUAAAUACUCCUGACUGACCGAUAGUGAACCAGUACCGUGAGGGAAAGGCGAAAAGAACCCCGGCGAGGGGAGUGAAAAAGAACCUGAAACCGUGUACGUACAAGCAGUGGGAGCCCCACCACCAAAGCAUUCUCUGGUGUUGAAGGCCCUGCAAAGCAGCAUCGCGGUGGCGGAGCGUCGUUUGCGACGCCCAACACACAAAACAAGCGGUGAGUGCUUUGGGGUGGGGUGACUGCGUACCUUUUGUAUAAUGGGUCAGCGACUUAUAUUCUGUAGCAAGGUUAACCGAAUAGGGGAGCCGGAGGGAAACCGAGUCUUAAUUGGGCGUUAAGUUGCAGGGUAUAGACCCGAAACCCGGUGAUCUAGCCAUGGGCAGGUUGAAGGUUGGGUAACACUAACUGGAGGACCGAACCGACUAAUGUUGAAAAAUUAGCGGAUGACCUGUGGCUGGGGGUGAAAGGCCAAUCAAACCGGGAGAUAGCUGGUUCUCCCCGAAAGCUAUUUAGGUAGCGCCUCGUGAAUUCAUCUCCGGGGGUAGAGCACUGUUUCGGCUAGGGGGCCAUCCCGGCUUACCAACCCGAUGCAAACUGCGAAUACCGGAGAAUGUUAUCACGGGAGACACACGGCGGGUGCUAACGUCCGUCGUGAAGAGGGAAACAACCCAGACCGCCAGCUAAGGUCCCAAAGUCAUGGUUAAGUGGGAAACGAUGUGGGAAGGCCCAGACAGCCAGGAUGUUGGCUUAGAAGCAGCCAUCAUUUAAAGAAAGCGUAAUAGCUCACUGGUCGAGUCGGCCUGCGCGGAAGAUGUAACGGGGCUAAACCAUGCACCGAAGCUGCGGCAGCGACACUGUGUGUUGUUGGGUAGGGGAGCGUUCUGUAAGCCUGUGAAGGUGUGUCGUGAGGCAUGCUGGAGGUAUCAGAAGUGCGAAUGCUGACAUAAGUAACGAUAAAGCGGGUGAAAAGCCCGCUCGCCGGAAGACCAAGGGUUCCUGUCCAACGUUAAUCGGGGCAGGGUGAGUCGACCCCUAAGGCGAGGCCGAAAGGCGUAGUCGAUGGGAAACGGGUUAAUAUUCCCGUACUUGGUGUUACUGCGAAGGGGGGACGGAGAAGGCUAUGUUGGCCGGGCGACGGUUGUCCCGGUUUAAGCGUGUAGGUGUGUGUUCCAGGUAAAUCCGGUUCACUUUAACACUGAGGCGUGACGACGAGGCACUACGGUGCUGAAGCAACAAAUGCCCUGCUUCCAGGAAAAGCCUCUAAGCAUCAGGUAACACGAAAUCGUACCCCAAACCGACACAGGUGGUCAGGUAGAGAAUACCAAGGCGCUUGAGAGAACUCGGGUGAAGGAACUAGGCAAAAUGGUGCCGUAACUUCGGGAGAAGGCACGCUGACAUGUAGGUGAAGUGAUUUACUCAUGGAGCUGAAGUCAGUCGAAGAUACCAGCUGGCUGCAACUGUUUAUUAAAAACACAGCACUGUGCAAACACGAAAGUGGACGUAUACGGUGUGACGCCUGCCCGGUGCCGGAAGGUUAAUUGAUGGGGUCAGCGCAAGCGAAGCUCCUGAUCGAAGCCCCGGUAAACGGCGGCCGUAACUAUAACGGUCCUAAGGUAGCGAAAUUCCUUGUCGGGUAAGUUCCGACCUGCACGAAUGGCGUAAUGAUGGCCAGGCUGUCUCCACCCGAGACUCAGUGAAAUUGAACUCGCUGUGAAGAUGCAGUGUACCCGCGGCAAGACGGAAAGACCCCGUGAACCUUUACUAUAGCUUGACACUGAACAUUGAGCCUUGAUGUGUAGGAUAGGUGGGAGGCUUUGAAGUGUGGACGCCAGUCUGCAUGGAGCCGACCUUGAAAUACCACCCUUUAAUGUUUGAUGUUCUAACGUGGACCCGUGAUCCGGGUUGCGGACAGUGUCUGGUGGGUAGUUUGACUGGGGCGGUCUCCUCCUAAAGAGUAACGGAGGAGCACGAAGGUUGGCUAAUCCUGGUCGGACAUCAGGAGGUUAGUGCAAUGGCAUAAGCCAGCUUGACUGCGAGCGUGACGGCGCGAGCAGGUGCGAAAGCAGGUCAUAGUGAUCCGGUGGUUCUGAAUGGAAGGGCCAUCGCUCAACGGAUAAAAGGUACUCCGGGGAUAACAGGCUGAUACCGCCCAAGAGUUCAUAUCGACGGCGGUGUUUGGCACCUCGAUGUCGGCUCAUCACAUCCUGGGGCUGAAGUAGGUCCCAAGGGUAUGGCUGUUCGCCAUUUAAAGUGGUACGCGAGCUGGGUUUAGAACGUCGUGAGACAGUUCGGUCCCUAUCUGCCGUGGGCGCUGGAGAACUGAGGGGGGCUGCUCCUAGUACGAGAGGACCGGAGUGGACGCAUCACUGGUGUUCGGGUUGUCAUGCCAAUGGCACUGCCCGGUAGCUAAAUGCGGAAGAGAUAAGUGCUGAAAGCAUCUAAGCACGAAACUUGCCCCGAGAUGAGUUCUCCCUGAGACUUAGAGUCUCCUGAAGGAACGUUGAAGACGACGACGUUGAUAGGCCGGGUGUGUAAGCGCAGCGAUGCGUUGAGCUAACCGGUACUAAUGAACCGUGAGGCUUAACCUUACAACGCCGAAG